GAUGAACGCUGGCGGCGUGCCUAAUACAUGCAAGUCGAGCGAACAGACGAGGAGCUUGCUCCUCUGACGUUAGCGGCGGACGGGUGAGUAACGCGUGGAUAACCUACCUAUAAGACUGGGAUAACUUCGGGAAACCGGAGCUAAUACCGGAUAAUAUAUUGAACCGCAUGGUUCAAUAGUGAAAGACGGUUUUGCUGUCACUUAUAGAUGGAUCCGCGCCGCAUUAGCUAGUUGGUAAGGUAACGGCUUACCAAGGCAAUGAUGCGUAGCCGACCUGAGAGGGUGAUCGGCCACACUGGAACUGAGACACGGUCCAGACUCCUACGGGAGGCAGCAGUAGGGAAUCUUCCGCAAUGGGCGAAAGCCUGACGGAGCAACGCCGCGUGAGUGAUGAAGGUCUUCGGAUCGUAAAACUCUGUUAUUAGGGAAGAACAAAUGUGUAAGUAACUAUGCACGUCUUGACGGUACCUAAUCAGAAAGCCACGGCUAACUACGUG
rnacentral:rRNA from 1 species